rnacentral:rRNA from 1 species
ACGGAAGGCAGCAGUGAGGAAUAUUGGUCAAUGGGCGGAAGCCUGAACCAGCCAAGUCGCGUGAAGGAUGAAGGUAUUAUGUAUUGUAAACUUCUUUAGACGUAGAGAAAUAAGGGGAUCGUGAUCCCUGAUGUUAGUAUACGUAGAAUAAGGAUCGGCUAACUCCGUGCCAGCAGCCGCGGUAAUACGGAGGAUCCGAGCGUUAUCCGGAUUUAUUGGGUUUAAAGGGUGCGCAGGCGGUCUUUUAAGUCAGUGGUUAAAUCGUGGAGCUUAACUCCAUCCCGCCAUUGAUACUGGAGGACUUGAUUGCGGUUGAGGUUGGCGGAAUUCGCCGUGUAGCGGUGAAAUGCAUAGAUAUGGCGAAGAACUCCGAUUGCGUAGGCAGCUGACCAAGCCGUAAAUGACGCUCAUGCACGAAAGUGCGGGGAUCGAACAGGAUUAGAUACCCUGGUA